UGCCUUUUCUCUUACCCAGAAGUGAGAGC
rnacentral:piRNA from 1 species